UGGUGUGAAUUGCAGAAUCCCGUGAACCAUCGAGUUUUUGAACGCAAGUUGCGCCCGAGGCUAUCUGGCCGAGGGCACGCCNGCCUGGGCGUCAUGCCUCACAUCGCUCGGUGCCCCCACCUCCCANUGCCAUAGCAUUGGGAAGCGGCGGCGCGGAUGCGGAGAUUGACCUCCCGUGCCUUGCGGCGCGGCGGGUUGAAAUGAUGGUCGCUGGUCGGGUCGGACACAGCGAAUGGUGGACAAACGCAAAGGACGCUGAACGAUGUGUACUCGACCCCAAGCCAAAGCGGCGCUUGCAAGGAGCCCAUGCCGACGGGCGCUCAAGAGCGCCCUCGGACCACGACCCCAGGUCAGGCGGGGCCACCCGCUGAGUUUAAGCAUAUCAAUAAGCGGAGGAGAAGAAACUUACAAGGAUUCCCCUAGUAACGGCGAGCGAACCGGGAAUAGCCCAGCUNGGGAAAUCGGGUGGCUGCGCCACCCGAAUUGUAGUCUG
rnacentral:rRNA from 1 species